GACGAACGCUGGCGGCGUGCCUAAUACAUGCAAGUCGAGCGAAGCGGGGACGGGCGAGUAACUCGUGGAUAACCUCCUAUAUGACUGGGAUAACUUAGGGAAACAGAAUCUAAUCAUGCUACUUAUAGAUGGAUCCGCGCUGCAUUAGCUAGUUGGUAAGGUAACUGCUUACCAAGGACACGAUGCAUAGCCGACCUGCGAGGGUGAUCGGCCACACGGGAACUGAGACACGGUCCAGACUCCUACGGGAGGCAGCAGUAGGGAAGCUGCCGCAAUGGGCGAAAGCCUGACAGAGCAACGCGGCGUGUGUUAUGAAGAUCUUCGGAUCGUAAAACUCUGUUAUUAGGGAAGCGGUACCUAAUCAGAAAGCCACGGCUAACUACGUGCCAGCAGCCGCGGUAAUUC
rnacentral:rRNA from 1 species